rnacentral:rRNA from 1 species
AUUGAACGCUGGCGGCAGGCCUAACACAUGCAAGUCGAGCGGAAGAACGGUGCUUGCUCCUGGAUUCCGCGUCGGACAGGUGUGUGAUGCACAUGAAAAUGCUUGGUAGUGGGGGAUAACGUCCUGAGACAGGCGCUAAUACCCCAUACGUGCUGCGGGAGAUAGUGGGGGAGCUUCGGACAUCACGCUCUCAGAUGAGCCUAGGUCGGAUUAGCUAGUUGGUGGGGUAAAGGCCUACUAAGGCGACGAUCCGUAACUGGUCUGAGAGGAUGAUCAGUCACACUGGAACUGAGACACGGUCCAGACUCCUACGGGAGGCAGCAGUGGGGAAUAUUGGACAAUGGGCGAAAGCCUGAUCCAGCCAUGCCGCGUGUGUGAAGAAGGUCUUCGGAUUGUAAAGCACUUUAAGUUGGGAAGAAAGGCAGUCACUUAAUACGGUGCUGGUUUGACGGUACCGGCAGAAUAAGCACCGGCUAACUACGUG